rnacentral:rRNA from 1 species
UACAGAGGGUGCGAGCGUUAAUCGGAAUUACUGGGCGUAAAGGGUGCGUAGGUGGUUGGAGAAGUUGGGCGUGAAAGCCCUGGGCUUAACCUAGGAAGAGCGUUCAAGACUGGCUAGCUAGAGUAUGGUAGAGGUAAGCGGAAUUUCCGGUGUAGCGGUGAAAUGCGUAGAUAUCGGAAGGAACAUCAGUGGCGAAGGCGGCUUACUGGACUGAUACUGACACUGAGGCACGAGAGCGUGGGGAGCAAACAGG